UACGUAGGGUGCGAGCGUUGCCCGGAUUUAUUGGGCGUAAAGGGCGCGCAGGCGGUACGGCACGUCCGUUGUGAAAUCGCUCGGCUCAACUGGGCGGGGUCAGCGGAUACGGCCGCACUUGAGCAAGCUAGGGGGCAAUGGAAUUCCCGGUGUAGUGGUGGAAUGCGUAGAUAUCAGGAGGAACACCUGUGGUGUAGACGGCUUUCUGGACCAUAGCUGACGCUGAAGACACGAAAGCGUGGGUAGCAAACAGG
rnacentral:rRNA from 1 species